CCUACGGGAGGCAGCAGUGGGGAAUAUUGGGCAAUGGGCGCAAGCCUGACCCAGCAACGCCGCGUGAAGGAAGAAGGCUUUCGGGUUGUAAACUUCUUUUAAGAGGGAAGAGCAGAAGACGGUACCUCUUGAAUAAGCCACGGCUAACUACGUGCCAGCAGCCGCGGUAAUACGUAGGUGGCAAGCGUUGUCCGGAUUUACUGGGGGUAAAGGGCGUGCAGCCGGGAAGACAAGUCAGAUGGGAAAUCCCGCGGCUCAACCGCGGAACUGCAUUUGAAACUGUUUUUCUUGAGUACCGGAGAGGUCAGCGGAAUUCCUUGUGUAGCGGUGAAAUGCGUAGAUAUAAGGAAGAACACCAGUGGCGAAGGCGGAUGACUGGACGGCAACUGACGGUGAGGCGCGAAAGCGUGGGGAGCAAACAGGAUUAGAUACCCUUGUAGUC
rnacentral:rRNA from 1 species